UACAGAGGGUGCAAGCGUUAAUCGGAAUUAUUGGGCGUAAAGGGCUUGUAGGUUGUUAUUUAAGUUAGAUGUGAAAGCCCUGGGCUCAACCUGGGACGUGCAUUUAAGACUGGAUGACCAGAGUAUAGUAGAGGAGAGGGGAAUUCCUGGUGUAGCAGUGAAAUGCGUAGAGAUCAGGAGGAACAUCAGUGGCGAAGGCGCCUCUCUGGACUAAUACUGACACUGAGGAGCGAAGGCGUGGGGAUCAAACAGG
rnacentral:rRNA from 1 species